AUUGAACGCUGGCGGCAUGCUUAACAUAUGCAAGUCGAACGGCAGCGCGGGAAAGCUUGCUUUCCUGGCGGCGAGUGGCGGACGGGUGAGUAAUACUUAGGAAUCUGCCCACUAGUGGGGGAUAGCCCGGGGAAACUCGGAUUAAUACCGCAUAAGCCCUACGGGGGAAGCUGGGGACCCAGCACCAUAGCCUUUUGGCAACCGAUCAAGGCGAGAAGAAGCUAUGGUGCUGGGCCUGGCGCUAGUGGAUGAGCCUAAGUCCUAUCAGCUAGUUGG
rnacentral:rRNA from 1 species